rnacentral:lncRNA from 1 species
AAAUGCAUAGCUUCGUUGAGAAUGAAGAAGAAUCCUGUCAAUAUAAAUGGAUUAAUACUUCUGUGAGUGCAUUUCUUAUUUUAUAUAUGAAUAAAAUUCUCUUAAUCAAAAAUGACAUUCUUUAUAUUAUAGGGAAUAAAAGUUUCGCUAUUAUCAUUGUUCUGAAAAAAGCAUUCAUCAUCCCAAGGAUGAAGAUCUAUAGAGAUAGAUCUAAAAGGAUACUUGGGUUAUCCCAGUCUAAUGUACAGAGAGUGUUUAUGAGUAAAAUUUGUUCUAUCAUAUAUACCAUGUAUG